CGGGGCCCGCACAAGCGGAGGAACAUGUGGUUUAAUUCGAUGAUACGCGAGGAACCUUACCUGGGCUUAAAUGGGGAGUGACAGCUGUCGAAAGAUGGUUUUCUUCGGACACUCUUCAAGGUGCUGCAUGGUUGUCGUCAGCUCGUGCCGUGAGGUGUCGGGUUAAGUCCCAUAACGAGCGCAACCCUUACCGUUAGUUACCAUCAGGUUAAGCUGGGGACUCUAGCGGGACUGCCACCGUAAGGUGAGAGGAAGGUGGGGAUGACGUCAAAUCAGCACGGCCCUUAUGUCCAGGGCUACACACGUGUUACAAUGGCCGGUACAAAGGGCAGCUACUUCGCGAGAAGAUGCUAAUCUCGAAAGCCGGUCUCAGUUCGGAUCGAAGUCUGCAACCCGACUUCGUGAAGCUGGAUUCGCUAGUAAUCGCGCAUCAGCCAUGGCGCGGUGAAUACGUUCCCGGGCCUU
rnacentral:rRNA from 1 species